rnacentral:rRNA from 1 species
UACGUAGGGGGCAAGCGUUGUCCGGAUUUAUUGGGCGUAAAGAGCGUGUAGGCGGUUUGGUAGGUCCGCUGUGAAAACUCGAGGCUCAACCUCGAGACGCCGGUGGAAACCAUCAGACUAGAGUCCGGAAGAGGAGAGUGGAAUUCCUGGUGUAGCGGUGAAAUGCGCAGAUAUCAGGAAGAACACCCGUGGCUAAGGCGGGUCUCUGGGCCGAUACUGACGCUGAGGAGCGAAAGCGUGGGGAGCGAACAGG